AUUGAACGCUGGCGGCAGGCCUAACACAUGCAAGUAGAACGAGUGGCGGACGGGUGAGUAAUGUCUGGGAAAAUGCAUGAUGGAGGGGGAUAACUACUGGACACGGUAGCUAAUACCGCAUAACAUCAGAUGUGCCCAGAUGGGAUUAGCUAGGUGGUGGGGUAACGGCUCACCAGGGCGACGACCCCUGGCUGGUCUGAGAGGAUGACCAGCCACACUGGCACUGGGACACGGUCCAGACUCCUACGUUAGGCAGCAGUGGGGAAUAUUGCACAAGGGGCGCAAGCCUGAUGCAGCCAUGCCGCGUGUAUGAAGAAGUCCUUCGGGUUGUAAAGUACUUUCAGCGUGGAGGCGUUACCCGCAGAAGAAGCACCGGCUAACUCCGUGCCAGCAGCCGCGGUAAUAC
rnacentral:rRNA from 1 species